CCCCCUGCACGCCCCAUUCAGCCCCUCUGCCCCUGCCCCAUCGUCCCUCCCUCCUGCAGCGUCGUGCUCCAGCAGCGGAUACAUUUCUGGUAUGUCACAUUCCGUCUCUUCCUGUGUUUCUUACUCCCACUCCUCCAAUCUUUCUUUCCUUUGUUUCUUCCUCCUGGCCCUCCCAGCAGGCUCGAGUCACGUUUCUGCUUGCUGAGCAGAAACAGCCCCGAGGGUCCUCCUCGAGAGAACAUGAUGUGUAGAGGUCUUCUACAGUUGAACCCUAUAGAUGAAAUUGUUAAGAGUGAUCCUGAUACAUCAGACUUAGACAUUUAUGAGUAAUCGAUGUGUAUUGAAGGCUCUGUAUAUCUUCAUAGUGUGGAGGUAAAUGCAGCAUUAUGUGUUUGCCCCUGAAUACAUAUCCACUAAAAGCCCAUGACUGGACCGCAGCCAUCACAUCUGCUCUUGGGGUGUCACACCAGAGUUCUAGAUGGACCCAGAAUUGCAGAGAGACGAGGUCAGGGGAAGGAGCCGGGAAAGAGGUUAACAAGACCACAGAUGCUGCAGACGGGAUUCACACGAAGAUGUCCUUCCCACCAACCAGGCCAUCGCUGGCUUUGUAAGGUAAUGAGAUUAGCAACAUUAGACGUGUUGAAACACAGCCUGAGCGGUCACUUGUACCGUAUGCUGCAGAGAAGAGGGUUCAAAUGGUUUCAGACAGCCCUGUGAUUCAUAGGAUUUGUGUGCAGAUCAGACGUAAAGAGCCCUUAGCUUUCAUGUAAAUACAUAAUUCCCUCUGAUGUGUACAAAAAUUCUCCCCAAAAUCUUGUGAAUUUCCAGGCAAGUGUUGUGAAAUACUUAGAAACUCCUCCGAGAAGUGAGCAGGUCUCAUUGUCUGUCUUAUCUCCCUUUUCUCUCCUUGAAUCUACUCCAGUUAGGUUUUCCCCUCCACCACUCCACCGAAACUUAGGAGUUAAUUGAACAUGAACCAAUGAACAAGUGAAAGUAAUGUUUCUUAUAGUUGUAUAUGACUAGCUAUGUGAUUAAAAUGACCAAACCGGCAAGUUGUGUUUAAAUGCUUAAUAAAAGCUAGGUUUAAAUUGUUAACUUAAAAAAUGAAUGGAAAUGAAGACCCAAAUAACUACACUGUCAUCUCCCAGCACGACUUUCAUUCUCAUAUAAAGAAACUCAUUUUCUAAGUAGGAGGGUUGCUCCAAACUGCUGGCAAUUCCCAGGAAGAAAGGCCCAGGUUUUAUGGAGCUUCCACCUGUUUCCUUGUAGACGCAGCCAACUGCCACCAGGUGGCAGAACAAGAUGAGAAAACUGUGCCCCACGGAGUCCCUGAGCCCCUUCUGCUGCAGUUUUUGAGUGAGUUUUCUCAGGGGCCGGAAUCAGUCCUGGGGAACCAUCCCAAGGUUCCGCCCUCUUAAGCUAUUCCAGGGUGCACCCAGGGCCUGCCUGGUCCAGGGUUUCUGACGUCUAUGAUGACGCUUAAGGCAGUGACAUCGAUCAGCAGGGCCUCUGGGCUAGGAGACCCAAUUCACCUCCUCAUUAGUAACCCUGGGAUGUGGUAGUAGGUGGCUUCAGGCAGGAUGAGGGGCGAGUUGCAUCUGUCAGUAUGUCAGGGUAGUGACAUCUGUGAUUCUGCAGGGACAUUUGGACGGCAGGGAAUCAGAAACGCCAGAAAGCGAGGGUCCGCAACGCAAAACCUUGCCAACUGCUGUGGACUGAAUUGCGUUCCCCCACCCUGCAAUUAAUAUAUUGAAGCCCUGACCCCUAACGGGGCUGUAUCUGGAGCUAGAGCCUUUAGGAGGCAAUUAAGGUUAAAUGAGGUCAUAAGAGUGGAGCCCUGCUCCGACAGGAUUAGCGUCCUUAUGAGAAGAGACGCCACAGAGCUCAUUGUAUCUGUCAGUAUCUCGAGGUAGUGACAACUGUGCUUCUGCAGGGACAUUUGGGCAGCAGGGAUGUCUCUUCUUCUCUGCACUGCAUGCACCCAGGAAAGGCCAUGUGACGUCUUAGCAAGAAGGAGGCAAACCAUGAGGAGAGCCUUCAGCAGAAACCAAAUCGGCCAGCACCUUGAUCUUGGACUUCCCAGCUGGCAGAACUGUGAGAAAAUAAAUGUCUGUUGUUUAAGUCA